rnacentral:lncRNA from 1 species
UUUGAAAAGAUCUGAAGAUACGCCCCUUGGAUGCCUGCAGAGAAGCUCUGGGGCUUCAGUCAAUGACUCAGGGUAGCCACCGAACAUGAUGCUCGGGCAGUGGGUGCCACCUGGACUCCACUCUCCCCUCUCUCUGGGAUCAUAGAGUCCAAGGUGUUCUGUGGCCUCUCGGCCAAUCCCAGCAGCUCAGCGUGCAGAAGACCGAGGAGCCAUUGGAAUUCAACACAACACGAAAUAAUCAACAAAUUCGGGGAAUGUUAAUCUGACCAUCACCAGUUACAAAUGAUGUUUCAUGCUACCUUCUAUUCCUGCCUUCAUAAAUCAAGCUCUAAAUCUCCAGGAAAAAAUGUGCUCAGGAUGGCCAGAGAAAUGUCCUUCCAACUGUGCAUGGAAAGGUAUGAUUUUGUGCAGCAGGUGAAGGACUGGUUAGAGUAAGUGUGUGCUGAGCUUUUGUGUUUGAAAGCGAGCCUGUGCACUUCUAACGAUUGGAAGGUUUCCUUGCCUUCUCCGAUCUUACACACAGCAAGGACAGCAAAGCCUUCCAGACCUGCCUGUGACAUGCACUGCACAUUCUAAAGAUGCCUAUGCAAUGGAAAACACCACUGUCUGCUCCAGCACAGCUGCCAUUCUUCCAUCUUAUCGACCUUAAUGCAACAACUCCUCACAGGCAGAGAUUUUAAAAUGUGUUCUUGGCAGAAGAGAGACUCAAAGAUGGGACAAAUGUGUCAUUUAAAUGCCUG